CCCUCUCUCCAGGACAAUCAAACUCUCCGCUCAGACAAACAUCAACCUUCCUCCGCUCCUCCAGGACAACAUCAACCUUCCUCCUCUCCUCCAGGACAACAUCAACCAUCCUCCUCUCCUCCAGGACUCCAGGACUAUAGUACAACAUAACUUCCUCCUCUCCUCCAGGACUACAGUACAACAUCAACCUUCAACCUCUUCUCUCAGGAGGAACAUCAACCUUCCACCUCUCCUCCAGGACUAUAGCACAAUCACAACUUCCUCCUCUCCUCCAGUACAACAUUAACCUUCCACCUGUCCUCCAGGACAACAUCAACCUUCCACCUCUCCUCCAGGAGUACAGUACAACAUCAACCUUCCACCUCUCCCACGGAGGCAGUACAAACAUCAACCUUCCACUCUCCUUCAGGAGUACAGUACAACAUCAACCUUCCUCCUCUCCUCAGUACAACAUCAACCUUCCACCUCUCCUCCAGGACAACCUCAACCUUCCACAUCUCCUCCAGGACACAUCAACCUUCCACUCCUCCAGGACAACAUCAACCUUCCACCUCUCUCCAGGACAACAUCAACCUUCCUCCUCUCCUCAGGACUAUUACAACAUCAACCCUCCUCUCCUCCAGUACACCAUCAACUUCUUCCUUUCCUCCAGGACAACAUCAACCUUCCUCCUCUCCUCCAGUACAACAUCAACCUUCCACCUCUCCUCCAGGAAACAUCAAACCUUCCACUUUCCUCCAGGACAACAUCAACCUUCCACCACUCCUCCAGGAGUACAGUACUACAUCAACCUCCACCUCUCCUCCAGGAGAAACAUCAACUUCCACUCUCCUUCAGGGUACGUACCAACACAACCUUCCACCCUCCCCAGGACAACAUCAACAUUCCACCUCUCCCCCAGGAGUACAGUACAACAUCAAAUUUCCACCUCUCCUUCAGGAGUACAGUACAACAUCAACCUCCUCCUCUCCUCCAGACAACAUUAAC
rnacentral:lncRNA from 1 species